ACAACUGGGCGCAAGCCUGAUGGAGCAACACCGCGUGAGUGAAGAAGGGUUUCGGCUCGUAAAGCUCUGUUGUUUAAAGAAGAACACGUAUGAGAGUAACUGUUCAUACGUUGACGGUAUUUAACCAGAAAGUCACGGCUAACUACGUGCCAGCAGCCGCGGUAAUACGUAGGUGGCAAGCGUUAUCCGGAUUUAUUGGGCGUAAAGAGAGUGCAGGCGGUUUUCUAAGUCUGAUGUGAAAGCCUUCGGCUUAACCGGAGAAGUGCAUCGGAAACUGGAUAACUUGAGUGCAGAAGAGGGUAGUGGAACUCCAUGUGUAGCGGUGGAAUGCGUAGAUAUAUGGAAGAACACCAGUGGCGAAGGCGGCUACCUGGUCUGCAACUGACGCUGAGACUCGAAAGCAUGGGUAGCGAACAGGAUUAGAUACCCUGGUAG
rnacentral:rRNA from 1 species